rnacentral:rRNA from 1 species
AACGAACGCUGGCGGCGUGCUUAACACAUGCAAGUCGAACGCGAAAGGGACUUCGGUCCUGAGUAAAGUGGCGCACGGGUGAGUAACGCGUAGAUAACCUGUCUUCAUGUCUGGAAUAAUACGCCGAAAGGGGUACUAAUACCGGAUAUUCUUGCUUUUCAUAAGUUAUGCAAGCAAAGGUGGCCUCUGCAUAUGCUACUGCAUGAAGAGGGGUCUGCGUACCAUUAGCUAGUAGGUGGGGUAAUGGCCUACCUAGGCGACGAUGGUUAGCGGGUCUGAGAGGAUGAUCCGCCACACUGGCACUGGAACACGGGCCAGACUCCUACGGGAGGCAGCAGUGAGGAAUAUUGCGCAAUGGGGGAAACCCUGACGCAGCGACGCCGCGUGAGUGAAGGAAGGCCUUCGGGUCGUAAAGCUCUGUCAAGAGGAAAGAAGUGUACAAUGGCUAAUACCUGUUGUAUUUGACGGUACCUCUAAAGGAAGCACCGGCUAACUCCGUGCCAGCAGCUGC